UACACCUGCACUGAAUCGCACAUGCAGGUGAUGAGUUCCAUUUAAACUGCGCCAUUCAUUUUAAUGAGGCAGGAGACAUUCAUUUAAAAUGUGUAACAAAACAAGUUCAUACUGGCCAGGAUGUUCGCCACACCUUCCUUUUGUUGUGACAACCUGCUGCGUCACAAACUUGAAGUGAAUAAAUAAGAGCUGCUCCCCAAAGGUUUUCAUCAAGACUCACACACUUUUCCCUGUCGGACACUCAGAAUCACUAAAACUAACAUGGACGCCCCAGCCAGAGCCGCCGCAGCCACCGCCGCCGCCGCCAAAUCCGCCGCAGAAGCCACCGCCGCUGCAGCUGCCAAGGCAGCAGCCGCCACCAAAGCUGCCGCGGCCCGAUAAUGAUCGUGGUCGUCUUGAUGUGGGAUCAUGUGAACAUCUGAGCAGCGAGAUGUUACUAAUCUGCUGAAUAAACCUGAGAAGCUGUUUUUUAAAAA